rnacentral:lncRNA from 1 species
GGAUGUGAAAUUGAGAAUAAUGUCCAUUGAUAAGGAUUGGAGAAAAUAGAAAUGGUCGUGUGGAAACUUUUUUUUUUUUUUUUUCAGAUGUGUAAAGUUGAGGAAGACAGCCUGGCAAUUAAAUUUCAUAGCUGGAAAUAGUCAAUUUACCAUAAUCAUGAAUAUAUAUAUCAAGCUCAAAACUCUUAUUAAUCUAAAAUUUUGUUUUAAUUUAAUCCUACUUGCAUGUGGAAACUUGUCAAAGUCAAACUUGUGGAGUUAGGUUGGAAUAUUUCAAG